rnacentral:rRNA from 1 species
GACGAACGCUGGCGGCGUGCUUAACACAUGCAAGUCGAACGGAAAGGCCCUGCUUUUGUGGGGUGCUCGAGUGGCGAACGGGUGAGUAACACGUGAGUAACCUGCCCUUGACUUUGGGAUAACUUCAGGAAACUGGGGCUAAUACCGGAUAGGAGCUACUGCUGCAUGGUGGGGGUUGGAAAGUUUCGGCGGUUGGGGAUGGACUCGCGGCUUAUCAGCUUGUUGGUGGGGUAGUGGCUUACCAAGGCUUUGAGGGGUAGCCGGCCUGGGAGGGUGACCGGCCACAUGGGGACUGAGAGACGGCCCAGAAUCGUACGGGAGGCAGCAGUGGGGAAUAUUGCACAAUGGGCGGGAGCCUGAUGCAGCAACGCUGCGUGCGGGAUGACGGCCUUCGGGGGGUAAACCGCUUUCGCAGGUGACGAAGCGUGAGUGACGGUAAUGGGUAAAGAAGCACCGGCUAACUACGUG